rnacentral:rRNA from 1 species
GACGAACCGUGCGAACGUUAUUCGGAAUCACUGGGCUUAAAGGGCGCGUAGGCGGGUCGGUAAGUCAGGGGUGAAAUCCCACGGCCCAACCGUGGAAGUGCCUCUGAUACUGGAUGGCUUGAGUUUGGGAGAGGGAUGCGGAAUUCCAGGUGUAGCGGUGAAAUGCGUAGAUAUCUGGAGGAACACCGGUGGCGAAGGCGGCAUCCUGGACCAACACUGACGCUGAGGAGCGAAAGCCAGGGGAGCAAACGGG